CCUGCCCAGGGUAGGAGUCUGCCGCUAUGUCACAAGCUACGUCACAAGCUACGUCACAAGAGGAUGGCGCUGUAGAGGAGGAAGGGAGGGGAACGGUCACGACCGCGCACGGGCAGAAGGCCGGCACGCAGAGAAGACAAGUUAGAUCCGGCUACGAGACUUAAAGGCGGAGGGAACUGCUUGGACCGCAGCACAGGGCGGAUCAGACCGGUAGUGCUUCCUGUUGUGAGCCGCGCAACCCUGCCGGUUUCGCUUCCUAGAAAUGACGAGAUGGGCGUGCUCCUGACUCUUGACCAUUGGGAAAUCUUCCCAGCCUGGAAUUGUUCCUUUGCUGCUUUUGCUACCCUGUGGGUGCCAUGUUUUAUCUCCUCUGCGAUACCUGUUUGCCAUCCCUGCCUUGGAGCCAGGUGAUUAUGGACUGAAACUUCUACAAAUUUGCACGUUGUUCAGAAUACUAAGAAGCUCCUGGCCAGACAUGGUGGUACAAGCCUAUAAGCCCAGCACUCAGGAGGCAGAGGCAAGAGGAUCACUGAGUUCAAAGCCAGGCUGAACUACAUAGUAAGACCCUGUCUCAAAAAAAAAAAAAAGCUCCUGAUAAAAGAGGAAGACGAGAGAGGUAACAAGAAUGGCCUGCCACACAGGAAAGGAAAACUAAGCACUUGUACUGUCAGCUGCCAUGGGUUGAAUGCCUUGUCCUCUGCCACACCCUUUGGACAUACUGUUUUUUGCCUUGGAGCAUGCUGACCAUGGACUGAAAUUGUGAGCCAAAAUCAACUCCUCCUUUAAAUUUCAGAUGGCAGGUGUUGUGUCCCAGCAAAGAGAAAGCAGCUGAGAUAAGCCAUGAAGAUUGAUUGUAUGUGCAUUGAUUAUUUCACCUCCAGUAACCUUUCUCCAGGCUUUAAGUCACCCUGCUGCUUUAUUCCAUAAAUAUCUCUAUCCUUGGAGAGGUAGUUUGAGAUUUGAGUUUCCCCUUACACACUUGGCCACCAUGUGA
rnacentral:lncRNA from 1 species